GCCGAAGGGAAACCGAGUCUUAACUGGGCGUUAAGUUGCAGGGUAUAGACCCGAAACCCGGUGAUCUAGCCAUGGGCAGGUUGAAGGUUGGGUAACACUAACUGGAGGACCGAACCGACUAAUGUUGAAAAAUUAGCGGAUGACUUGUGGCUGGGGGUGAAAGGCCAAUCAAACCGGGAGAUAGCUGGUUCUCCCCGAAAGCUAUUUAGGUAGCGCCUCGUGAAUUCAUCUCCGGGGGUAGAGCACUGUUUCGGCAAGGGGGUCAUCCCGACUUACCAACCCGAUGCAAACUGCGAAUACCGGAGAAUGUUAUCACGGGAGACACACGGCGGGUGCUAACGUCCGUCGUGAAGAGGGAAACAACCCAGACCGCCAGCUAAGGUCCCAAAGUCAUGGUUAAGUGGGAAACGAUGUGGGAAGGCCCAGACAGCCAGGAUGUUGGCUUAGAAGCAGCCAUCAUUUAAAGAAAGCGUAAUAGCUCACUGGUCGAGUCGGCCUGCGCGGAAGAUGUAACGGGGCUAAACCAUGCACCGAAGCUGCGGCAGCGACGCUGAUGCGUUGUUGGGUAGGGGAGCGUUCUGUAAGCCUGCGAAGGUGUACUGUGAGGUAUGCUGGAGGUAUCAGAAGUGCGAAUGCUGACAUAAGUAACGAUAAAGCGGGUGAAAAGCCCGCUCGCCGGAAGACCAAGGGUUCCUGUCCAACGUUAAUCGGGGCAGGGUGAGUCGACCCCUAAGGCGAGGCCGAAAGGCGUAGUCGAUGGGAAACAGGUUAAUAUUCCUGUACUUGGUGUUACUGCGAAGGGGGGACGGAGAAGGCUAUGUUGGCCGGGCGACGGUUGUCCCGGUUUAAGCGUGUAGGCUGGUUUUCCAGGCAAAUCCGGAAAAUCAAGGCUGAGGCGUGAUGACGAGGCACUACGGUGCUGAAGCAACAAAUGCCCUGCUUCCAGGAAAAGCCUCUAAGCAUCAGGUAACAUCAAAUCGUACCCCAAACCGACACAGGUGGUCAGGUAGAGAAUACCAAGGCGCUUGAGAGAACUCGGGUGAAGGAACUAGGCAAAAUGGUGCCGUAACUUCGGGAGAAGGCACGCUGAUAUGUAGGUGAAGUCCCUCGCGGAUGGAGCUGAAAUCAGUCGAAGAUACCAGCUGGCUGCAACUGUUUAUUAAAAACACAGCACUGUGCAAACACGAAAGUGGACGUAUACGGUGUGACGCCUGCCCGGUGCCGGAAGGUUAAUUGAUGGGGUCAGCGCAAGCGAAGCUCUUGAUCGAAGCCCCGGUAAACGGCGGCCGUAACUAUAACGGUCCUAAGGUAGCGAAAUUCCUUGUCGGGUAAGUUCCGACCUGCACGAAUGGCGUAAUGAUGGCCAGGCUGUCUCCACCCGAGACUCAGUGAAAUUGAACUCGCUGUGAAGAUGCAGUGUACCCGCGGCAAGACGGAAAGACCCCGUGAACCUUUACUAUAGCUUGACACUGAACAUUGAGCCUUGAUGUGUAGGAUAGGUGGGAGGCUUUGAAGUGUGGACGCCAGUCUGCAUGGAGCCGACCUUGAAAUACCACCCUUUAAUGUUUGAUGUUCUAACGUUGACCCGUAAUCCGGGUUGCGGACAGUGUCUGGUGGGUAGUUUGACUGGGGCGGUCUCCUCCUAAAGAGUAACGGAGGAGCACGAAGGUUGGCUAAUCCUGGUCGGACAUCAGGAGGUUAGUGCAAUGGCAUAAGCCAGCUUGACUGCGAGCGUGACGGCGCGAGCAGGUGCGAAAGCAGGUCAUAGUGAUCCGGUGGUUCUGAAUGGAAGGGCCAUCGCUCAACGGAUAAAAGGUACUCCGGGGAUAACAGGCUGAUACCGCCCAAGAGUUCAUAUCGACGGCGGUGUUUGGCACCUCGAUGUCGGCUCAUCACAUCCUGGGGCUGAAGUAGGUCCCAAGGGUAUGGCUGUUCGCCAUUUAAAGUGGUACGCGAGCUGGGUUUAGAACGUCGUGAGACAGUUCGGUCCCUA
rnacentral:rRNA from 1 species